GACGAACCAUGCAAACGUUAUUCGGAUUCACUGGGCUUAAAGCGUGCGUAGGCGGUCUUGUUAGUCAGGUGUGAAAGCCCUCAGCUCAACUGAGGAAUUGCGCUUGAUACUGCAUGACUAGAGAAUGAUAGAGGUGGGUGGAACUGAUGGUGGAGCGGUGAAAUGCGUUGAUAUCUGGAGGAACACCGGUGGCGAAGGCGGCAUCCUGGACCGACAUUGACGCUGAGGCGCGAAAGCCAGGGGAGCAAACGGG
rnacentral:rRNA from 1 species